AGAGUUGAUAUGGCUCAGGAUGAACGCUAGCUACAGGCUUAACACAUGCAAGUCGAGGGGCAGCAUGACGAUAGCUUGCUAUGUGAUGGCGACCGGCGCACGGGUGAGUAACGCGUAUCCAACCUUCCCUAUAGUAGAGAAUAGCCCGGCGAAAGUCGGAUUAAUGCUCUAUGUUGAUUUUGCGGACAUCUAACGAAUACCAAAGGUUUACCGCUAUAGGAUGGGGAUGCGUCUGAUUAGGUUGUUGGCGGGGUAACGGCCCACCAAGCCGUCGAUCAGUAGGGGUUCUGAGAGGAAGGUCCCCCACAUUGGAACUGAGACACGGUCCAAACUCCUACGGGAGGCAGCAGUGAGGAAUAUUGGUCAAUGGACGGAAGUCUGAACCAGCCAAAGUAGCGUGCAGGAUGACGGCCCUAUGGGUUGUAAACUGCUUUUAUACAGGGAUAAAGUCGGGGACGUGUUCCCGUUUGUAGGUACUGUAUGAAUAAGGACCGGCUAAUUCCGUGCCAGCCGCGGC
rnacentral:rRNA from 1 species